CCUUAGAGUUUGAUCCUGGCUCAGGAUGAACGCUAGCUACAGGCUUAACACAUGCAAGUCGAGGGGAAACGACAUCGAAAGCUUGCUUUUGAUGGGCGUCGACCGGCGCACGGGUGAGUAACGCGUAUCCAACCUGCCCACCACUUGGGGAUAACCUUGCGAAAGUAAGACUAAUACCCAAUGAUAUCUCUAGAAGACAUCUGAAAGAGAUUAAAGAUUUAUCGGUGAUGGAUGGGGAUGCGUCUGAUUAGCUUGUUGGCGGGGUAACGGCCCACCAAGGCGACGAUCAGUAGGGGUUCUGAGAGGAAGGUCCCCCACAUUGGAACUGAGACACGGUCCAAACUCCUACGGGAGGCAGCAGUGAGGAAUAUUGGUCAAUGGGCGAGAGCCUGAACCAGCCAAGUAGCGUGCAGGAUGACGGCCCUAUGGGUUGUAAACUGCUUUUAUAAGGGAAUAAAGUGAGUCUCGUGAGACUUUUUGCAUGUACCUUAUGAAUAAGGACCGGCUAAUUCCGUGCCAGCAGCCGCGGUAAUACGGAAGGUCCGGGCGUUAUCCGGAUUUAUUGGGUUUAAAGGGAGCGUAGGCCGGAGAUUAAGCGUGUUGUGAAAUGUAGAUGCUCAACAUCUGAACUGCAGCGCGAACUGGUUUCCUUGAGUACGCACAAAGUGGGCGGAAUUCGUGGUGUAGCGGUGAAAUGCUUAGAUAUCACGAAGAACUCCGAUUGCGAAGGCAGCUCACUGGAGCGCAACUGACGCUGAAGCUCGAAAGUGCGGGUAUCGAACAGGAUUAGAUACCCUGGUAGUCCGCACGGUAAACGAUGGAUGCCCGCUGUUGGUCUGAAUAGGUCAGCGGCC
rnacentral:rRNA from 1 species